rnacentral:rRNA from 1 species
GUACAGUAGAGGUGGGCGGAAUUCGUGGUGUAGCGGUGAAAUGCUUAGAUAUCACGAAGAACUCCGAUUGCGAAGGCAGCUCACUGGACUGCAACUGACACUGAUGCUCGAAAGUGUGGGUAUCAAACAGGAUUAGAUACCCUGGUAGUCCACACAGUAAACGAUGAAUACUCGCUGUUUGCGAUAUACAGUAAGCGGCCAAGCGAAAGCAUUAAGUAUUCCACCUGGGGAGUACGCCGGCAACGGUGAAACUCAAAGGAAUUGACGGGGGCCCGCACAAGCGGAGGAACAUGUGGUUUAAUUCGAUGAUACGCGAGGAACCUUACCCGGGCUUAAAUUGCAUUUGAAUAUAUUGGAAACAGUAUAGUCGUAAGACAAAUGUGAAGGUGCUGCAUGGUUGUCGUCAGCUCGUGCCGUGAGGUGUCGGCUUAAGUGCCAUAACGAGCGCAACCCUUAUCUUUAGUUACUAACAGGUCAUGCUGAGGACUCUGGAGAGACUGCCGUCGUAAGAUGUGAGGAAGGUGGGGAUGACGUCAAAUCAGCACGGCCCUUACGUCCGGGGCUACACACGUGUUACAAUGGGGGGUACAGAAGGCGGCUACCUGGUGACAGGAUGCUAAUCCCAAAAGCCUCUCUCAGUUCGGAUCGAAGUCUGCAACCCGACUUCGUGAAGCUGGAUUCGCUAGUAAUCGCGCAUCAGCCAUGGCGCGGUGAAUACGUUCCCGGGCCUUGUACACAC